AGCGCAACUGACGCUGAAGCUCGAAAGUGCGGGUAUCGAACAGGAUUAGAUACCCUGGUAGUCCGCACGGUAAACGAUGGAUGCCCGCUGUUUGCACGAUGGUGUAAGCGGCCAAGCGAAAGCAUUAAGCAUCCCACCUGGGGAGUACGCCGGCAACGGUGAAACUCAAAGGAAUUGACGGGGGCCCGCACAAGCGGAGGAACAUGUGGUUUAAUUCGAUGAUACGCGAGGAACCUUACCCGGGCUUGAAUUGUGAGAGAACGACCCAGAGAUGGGAAGGCCCUUCGGGGCUCUCAUGAAGGUGCUGCAUGGUUGUCGUCAGCUCGUGCCGUGAGGUGUCGGCUUAAGUGCCAUAACGAGCGCAACCCCUCUCCAUAGUUGCCAUCAGGUAAAGUUGGGCACUCUGUGGACACUGCCACCGUAAGGUGUGAGGAAGGUGGGGAUGAUGUCAAAUCAGCACGGCCCUUACGUCCGGGGCGACACACGUGUUACAAUGGCCGGUACAGAGAGCAGGGAGCCCGCAAGGUCUCUCAAAUCUAUAAAUCCGGUCUCAGUUCGGACUGGGGUCUGCAACCCGACCCCACGAAGCUGGAUUCGCUAG
rnacentral:rRNA from 1 species